CCCUCCACCCUCCCGCAUUGCCAGGUGCUCUCCCCCCGUUCCGCCUGCACCACCACAUCGCCCGUGCCCCACGAUGCCUAUAGCUCCCAUAGUGCCAGCACGCCCGGCGGAGCGACGCGAGGUCUCCGCGUUAGGAAACCUCUCCCUCUCCCUGGUCCUACUACCUCAUCUGUCCCACUAGUAGCUUCCUUUCUCCAUGCCUCCCCGCCGUAUUAGAAGAAACCAAAUUGUCUGACGGACACCAAGAGUACUCUUCAUGGCUGUCAUCAAGGCAUUGAUUUUCUCUACGCAUAACGGCAUGGCGAAAUCAUCGCUUCCCCUCGCUUAUUACUACUGUGCUUCUGCUCGGUUGUCACCACAAUGCUUCAUCUCAUCCCAGUUUCUAAGCGAGAAAGGUUUUGCAUCAUCCCCCUUAUGCAUAGCUCUUUGGAAAUUCUAUGUGCGUACAAGCAUUCAUUUCAGCUCUUAUGGCCUUACUUCUGAAUUUAUUCUUCUGGUCCUGUUGAUUUUUAUCUUGGAAAGAAAAAUCUGGAUUUAUCCGUAUGUACUGUUUAGUGCAAUGGAUAAUGCAUCGGGCUUUUCUCAUCAAAUUAUACGUCGUCGUGGUCGCCCACGAGAACAACCCUCUAAUAUAUCGGUUCUGCAUCCUAAUCAAGCUACUGCAGCGGAAUCUCGCCGCAGACGUAGGGAAGUCAUUGAUUCAAAUAGGAGCAGAGGUUGGUUAGAAAUUAAAGUUUUACUUGGUUAUUUAUGAAAAUAAUGUUGCUCACAUCACAAAUCUCAAUAUUUUUAUCUAGCAUCAACCUCUGCAGAUCACGUAUAUUACGCCCACAAUUAAUUGGUCAAUCUUCUGUUUCUAAUCGUUCUGUCCAAAAUGAGCACCAUGCUCUUAUUAGUUCAUCUACGUCAAAUCGAACUUUCUCUUCCAGGCGCUUAAUUAGUCCGGCCGACAAAAUUUUGUAGAAAACAAAUUCCGACCAAGCUACGUAAGAAUUCCCCAAAGGCCAAAUAUUUUUUUGACUCUCAAGGAAAGCUUUUUUUUGCAUGGAAAUAAUUGGCAUUACAAAGGCAAUGGUGAUGUUAAUUUGUUCUCAUCUUAUUUUUGUACUGACAUAGGUACAUGCCAAUUUCGAGCAGCCACUCAAGGGUGUCAUCUCUGUAGUGUCUAUCCAGACUGUAGGCAGUCAAAUGAUGACUUGGACUUGAUCGUCAUUGCUGUCUUGCUGAUGUUCUGGAUGUAUUUACUUUAUUUUGUUUCUUUGCCAAACAAUUAAUUAGUGUAUUGAUAAUUGUAUAUGGGGAGAACAGCUAUAGCAGGGCUCUCCUUUUUUUUCUUAUAUAUAUAUAGAAAGAGGAGGUAACUGGGAACCAUAUCCCUUCUUCAACGAUGGAUGCAAGAUCUCUAAAUCUUGGGUUCCUCUUGGUUCUUGUUUUACAGCUGAGUCCAUCAAUGGCAGAGGAGUGUAUUGAAGAUGUUGGAUGGAUACUGGGUUGUAGCAAAGGGACAUGCAAAUUUAACUGCUGGAUUGAAGGCCUUACCAAGAAGGCAAAAGUCCGGGAUGUCUGGUGUAGUGAUAUGCACAACUGCCACUGCUUGAUUUGUUCUGACAAGUAAAAAAAACCAGUGGUUGUUUUGUCAAUAAGAUGGAAAAAGAUGUAUCAGCAUGCUUAUGUAAGGGAAUAAUGUUGUUUGGAGUUUCAUUGCAACUUAAUUUGUCAUGCAUCGUUGUGUUGGUCUGAAAUGACAUUUUUGUGCAUCAAUUUUAGUAUGAGCA